GACGAACGCUGGCGGCGUGCUUAACACAUGCAAGUCGAACGAAGUGGCGAACGGGUGAGUAACGCGUAAUCAACCUGCCCUUCAGAGGGGGACAACAGGGGGAAACAGCUGCUAAUAGCGCAUACGGAAGGAGGGGAUGGGGUCUGAUUAGCUAGUUGGAGGGGUAACGGCCCGCCAAGGCGAUGACCAGUAGCCGGUCUGAGAGGAUGAACGGCAACAUUGGGACUGAGACACGUCCCAGACUCCUACGGGAGGCAGCAGUGGGGAAUCUUCCGCAAUGGACGGAAGGCUGACGGAGCAACGCCGCGUGAGUGAUGACUGCCUUCGGGUUGUAAAGCUCUGUUAAUCGGGACGCGGUACCGGAAUAGAAAGCCACGGCUAACUACGUGCCAGCCGCCGCGGUAAUAC
rnacentral:rRNA from 1 species